UUCUUUUUGAAUUUCCCACAAGAGGAGAGGGAAUUAAUAAUACAUCUGCAAAGAAAUUUCGGAGAAGAAAAGUUGACCGCGGCAGAAUGAGGCAUUGAUUGGGGGAGAGAAGCCAGCAGAGGACAGUUGGAUUUGUGCCUAUGUUGACUAAAAUUGACGGAUAAUUGCAGUUGGAUUUUUCUUCAUCAACCUCGUUUCUCCCCCCACCCCCGCCUUUUUUUUUUUCUUUUUGGUGUCAAGAUCAUGCGUUUUUCCGCUUGUUCUUAACCACCUGGAUAUCCAUCUGGAUGUUGCUGUGAUCAGUCUGAAAUACAUUAACCUGCCUCCUGUCAAGUAGCUGAUAUGUGAUACAUGAAGCCCACAACUUACUGUGUUUCUCAACCAUCG
rnacentral:lncRNA from 1 species